AGAGAGAGAGAGAGAGAGAGAGAGAGAGAGAGAGAGAGAGAGAGAGAGAGAGAGAGAGAGAGAGAGAGAAACACACACACACACACACACACACACAUACAGUCAGACGGUGUUAUACCUUAGAGACGUAAAGACCACCUCUCCAACUACUACUACUACUACUGCUACUACUACUACUACUGCUACUACUACUACAGACAGUUGAUUAAGAAUACGAACAAAGAAAUAACAAAGAAGAAAAAAAGAACAAGAAAUAGAUUUGGAAGUGUUAGAGAAGAGGGUGAUUGACUGACGAAGAAGAAGAAGAAGAAGAAGAAGAAGAAGAAGAAGAAGAAGAAGAAGAAGAUGUUUGAUUAAGUAAUUAAGUAUUGGCUCUGCUACUAAAACAACAACAACAACAACAACAACAACAACAACACCCUCCUGCUUCGCCCCCGUCAGCGCCUCCUUCACCAUGAGACUAGGAUGGCUCACAAAGACGUGGAUAGUGGCUGGAAUAGCGAGUGGGGUAGUGACGAUUACCAGUGCACCACCACCACCACCACCAUCACCACUAUCACCUCACCGGGCAGAAGACGGGACAUACACCGGAUAUCUCGCCAGUCUGCCACUUCAGAACUCCUGGAAACAAUCUAAGGACAUCUCCAGCACUAAAUUCCCGCCAGUGAACGAAAAUAUAAGAGAAAGAGACGAGAAACAAGAGAUCAUUGAGUCUCUUUUUGAUCUUCACAAAAACACGAGUCCUUUUCCAGAAACUUCAUUUUUGGAUUCCUCAAAUACUCCUUCUGUUAAAACUCUUAUUGGCACCCGCUUCAAUGCUCCUUCUAUUCCAAAAACUCCAUUCUUAGCUCCUCAAGAUACUUCUAUUAAAACUCCUUCUGUCCUAAAUACUCCUAUUAAAACUCCUACUAAUAUUGCUCAGAAUGAUCCUUCUAUUACUCCCAUUAAAACUCCUUUCGUUACUCUUCAAAACACUUCUUUAUAUAUCCCUUCAAGUUCUCCUUCAAAAACUCCUUCUGUCUCUCCUUCAGCGUCUUAUGGGCAAAACUUUCGUCAGUCUUCAGAUCCUCUUCAAAACACACCUUCUCUACCAUACAUCCUUUCAGUUUCUCCUCCUUAUGAACAAAACUUUCGUCAGUCUUCAAAUCCACUUCAAAACACAGCUCCUCUACCACAUGUUCCUUCAGUUCCUCCUCCUGCUGUCACUUCGGCGCUACAUCAACAAAACUUUAGCGAGCAGGCGACUCAAUCUGUACUAGGCUAUCAUCUUCCUCCCCUUCUGUAUUCUAAUCCCUUGACUAAAAUCGAUAAAACUCGCGGUAAGAGCAAGGAUUCCCUCUUGAUCUACGCCUUGGAUAUCGCAAGAACAGUGACAGCAGCAAAGAUAGAGAAUAAAAUGAAAAAACAAAGAAAUAACUCUGGAAUUCAAGGAAGAGAUUUUCCUCUCUUUGGUUUCCUGUCCUUUCUAAUGUUGUUACUUAAUAGCCUCCUUCUUAUCGUCCAGAACGUGAACAUCAACAACAAUAACAAUAAUAACAAUGAUAACAACAAUAAUAACAAUAAUAACAAUGAUAAUGACGGUACUGCAAGAGGCUAUGCUGGGAGAUUAGGAGGCUGGGAAAUUCUUCAUGUUAUUCGUAAUGUAAGCACGCAAUAUGACUUGUAAUGGAGGAUAUUGUGACUUGUAAAAUAUAAGUAACAAAUAAAACUCAUUGAC